CUGUUUCACCCAUGGCAAACUAAAGUGCGCUUGGACAGCUUCCACUUCAUGAGGCGCUUUAACUGCGGCCUCACAACAGAACACCACCCUCUGUAUGGUAUUUUCUGUGCCAAGCUUUCCUCCUGCAUUUUUGCAUGGGACCAGGAGGAUGUGCAACGCCUGAAGGAGGCCAAGAGAGAAGAGUGGAAGAGCAGCCACAGCGGGCAUACUCCCACUGAGGAGCAGCUCAUGGCCACCAUCAGUCCAGGCGAACUGAAGAGGCACUGCAGGAGGAGGACCCGUGGAGUGGAGGAGACGCGGGGCAUGAUCUCAGGGCUGCUGGAAUCAGUGUGGGAGCUGACGGACACCACAGGGCUGCGUCUGGUGAGCCAUGACAGCAUGCGCCAUGUCUGGGAAGUGCAGCAGAAGCACCUGGAGUGCCUCCAAGACCCUGCAGGUGUGGCACUGUACACGAAGGUGGGGACACUCCAGAAGGGCGGCAAAGAGCUGGACGUCCUAAGGUGUGGUAGGGGGUCCUCCUCCCUGGAGAGUUUUCACAAACACCAGUGCGCUUUUAUUCCAGGCUGGCGGUGCAAUGCUGUUCA
ensembl:lncRNA